rnacentral:rRNA from 1 species
GGACAGCCUUCUGAAAGGAAGAUUAAUACAAGAUGGCAUCAUGAGUUCACAUGUUCACAUGAUUAAAGGUAUUCCGGUAGACGAUGGGGAUGCGUUCCAUUAGAUAGUAGGCGGGGUAACGGCCCACCUAGUCUUCGAUGGAUAGGGGUUCUGAGAGGAAGGUCCCCCACAUUGGAACUGAGACACGGUCCAAACUCCUACGGGAGGCAGCAGUGAGGAAUAUUGGUCAAUGGGCGCAGGCCUGAACCAGCCAAGUAGCGUGAAGGAUGACUGCCCUAUGGGUUGUAAACUUCUUUUAUAAAGGAAUAAAGUCGGGUAUGGAUACCCGUUUGCAUGUACUUUAUGAAUAAGGAUCGGCUAACUCCGUGCCAGCAGCCGCGGUAAUACGGAGGAUCCGAGCGUUAUCCGGAUUUAUUGGGUUUAAAGGGAGCGUAGAUGGAUGUUUAAGUCAGUUGUGAAAGUUUGCGGCUCAACCGUAAAAUUGCAGUUGAUACUGGAUAUCUUGAGUGCAGUUGAGGCAGGCGGAAUUCGUGGUGUGGCGGUGAAAUGCUUAGAUAUCACGAAGAACUCCGAUUGCGAAGGCAGCCUGCUAAGCUGCAACUGACAUUGAGGCUCGAAAGUGUGGGUAUCAAACAGGAUUAGAUACCCUGGUAGUCCACACGGUAAACGAUGAAUACUCGCUGUUUGCGAUAUACUGCAAGCGGCCAAG